rnacentral:rRNA from 1 species
UACGUAGGGGGCUAGCGUUGUCCGGAAUCAUUGGGCGUAAAGCGCGUGUAGGCGGUCCGGUAAGUCCGCUGUGAAAGUCGGGGGCUCAACCCUCGGAUGCCGGUGGAUACUGUCGGGCUUGAGUACGGAAGAGGCGAGUGGAAUUCCUGGUGUAGCGGUGAAAUGCGCAGAUAUCAAGGAGGAACACCAAUUGCGAAGGCAGCUCGCUGGGACGUUACUGACGCUGAGACGCGAAAGCGUGGGGAGCAAACAGGAUUAAGAUACCC